GUGACCUCAAAUCAGGUAGGACUACCCGCUGAACUUAAGCAUAUCAAUAAGCGGAGGAAAAGAAACUAACAAGGAUUCCCCUAGUAACUGCGAGUGAAGCGGGAAAAGCUCAAAUUUAAAAUCUGGCAGUCUUUUGGCUGUCCGAGUUGUAAUCUAGAGAAGUGUUAUCCGCGCUGGACCGUGUACAAGUCUCCUGGAAUGGAGCAUCAUAGAGGGUGAGAAUCCCGUCUUUGACAUGGACUACCAGGGCUUUGUGAUGCGCUCUCAAAGAGUCGAGUUGUUUGGGAAUGCAGCUCAAAAUGGGUGGUAAAUUCCAUCUAAAGCUAAAUAUUGGCGAGAGACCGAUAGCGAACAAGUACCGUGAGGGAAAGAUGAAAAGAACUUUGGAAAGAGAGUUAAACAGUACGUGAAAUUGCUGAAAGGGAAACGCUUGAAGUCAGUCGCGUCGUCCAGGGAUCAACCUUGCUUUUGCUUGGUGCACUUUCUGGUUUGACGGGUCAGCAUCAAUUUUGACUAUUGGAAAAAGUCUAAGGGAAUGUGGCAUCCUUGGAUGUGUUAUAGCCCUUGGUCACAUACAAUGGUUGGGAUUGAGGAACUCAGCA
rnacentral:rRNA from 1 species